CAUGCAAGUCGAACGCCCGUAGCAAUACGGGAGUGGCAGACGGGUGAGUAACACGUGGGAACAUGCCUUUCGGUUCGGAAUAACCCAGGGAAACUUGGGCUAAUACCGGAUACGCCCUUACGGGGAAAGAUUUAUCGCCGAAAGAUUGGCCCGCGUCCGAUUAGCUAGUUGGUGAGGUAAUGGCUCACCAAGGCGACGAUCAGUAGCUGGUCUGAGAGGAUGAUCAGCCUCACUGGGACUGAGACACGGCCCAGACUCCUACGGGAGGCAGCAGUGGGGAAUAUUGGACAAUGGGCGCAAGCCUGAUCCAGCCAUGCCGCGUGGGUGAUGAAGGCCCUAGGGUUGUAAAGCCCUUUCGGCGGGGAAGAUAAUGACGGUACCCGCAGAAGAAGCCCCGGCUAACUUCGUGCCAGCAGCCGCGGUAAUACGAAGGGGGCUAGCGUUGCUCGGAAUCACUGGGCGUAAAGCGCACGUAGGCGGAUUGUUAAGUGAGGGGUGAAAUCCCAGGGCUCAACCCUGGAACUGCCUCUCAUACUGGCAAUCUCGAGUUCGAGAGAGGUGAGUGGAAUUCCGAGUGUAGAGGUGAAAUUCGUAGAUAUUCGGAGGAACACCAGUGGCGAAAGCGGCUCACUGGCUCGAUACUGACGCUGA
rnacentral:rRNA from 1 species